GAUGGCCGCGCGCAGGACCUUCUCUUUCCAGUGGUGUGGGCGGGGGUUUGCGCUCAGAAAAAGGUUCGGGUAAGUUUCCACGGGGAUGUGCAGCGUGGGCAGCAAGAGAGCCUAGCUUGCUAGAGAGCUCAGGGACCCUUCCACAUAUUCUACCACGCUCUGCGAUGCGUCCUGGAGUCGGGGCCCCUGUUGACCUCGCUAGGAUGGCCACAUUCCGACGGGACUUGGGAAUAAUAUUGGGGAGGAGGCAGGUAAUCGUUUCUUUCCUACUCUAGUCCUGUUCCUCCACGCUGAGUGUCACUGAACAGGUACACCCCCUUGGCGUUUGUCCAUUUAAAAGUGGAACAGCUGUUCCAGAGCAUUUGGGAGCUGUGGGCGUUGCAGUUCCAGAAACCGAGGCGCCUCAAGCUGGACUCACUCAGACCUGCAUUGUUGAUCUUUCCCCUGUGUAAGGAAGGGGGUACAGAGAGAUUCACAGCCAUCCCCAGGGCGGAAGGGCAGUAGCAUAGCUGUGUCAUUUGGACAACUCUGAGCCUUCUCUACUUCUCAAUUCUUCUUUUCUUUUUCUUUUAUACCCCGUCUCGGGAGCUGAAGGGGAAGAACCUACAACAUGGAAACUUUGUUGGUGCCUGUGAUCCUUUGUGGCCUAUACAAACAUAAAGAGCUACAAAGAUUGGAGUAUACUGUUCCUCAAUUAAGGACAAGGACGCCCUGGUAGAAUUUGGGUCAUUUGACCCUGCCUGCCUGAUGCCCACCUGCCCGGAUUACUGGACCUACUCGGGAUCCUUGACAACCCCACCACUCUCUGAAUCUGUCACUUGGAUCAUUAAGAAGCAGCCUGUACCCCUGGCUGGUGUGGCUCAGUGGAAUGAGCACCAGCCUGUGAACCAAAGGGUCACCAGUUCGAUUCCCAGUCAGGGCACAUGCUUGGGUUGCAGGCCAGGUCCCCAGUUAAGGGUGCAUGAGAGGCAACUGCACGUUGAAGUUUCUCUUUCUCCCUCCUUUCCCCUCUGUCUAAAAAAAAAAUACAUACUUUUUAAAAAAGCAUUAUGAUCAGGUACAUUCUUUACAUUUCCUCAUAUGAAUAUUCUAAUUUGCCCCUUCAGAACAAGGCUAGGCUCAGACUUUGAGAUCCAUUCUUAGCAUCUUACAAUGGUUAUACAUUUAUUGUAAAAGGUGCUAACUUCUCGUCUAAUUUGGGUAUGAAGUAGGAAAUGCUUCAGUUAACCAGAGAAGUUAAAACAUAGAACAUAAGCUUUUUGCUUUCAUUCUUGACAAUGAUAUUUAUUUUACUGUAUAUGCAUUGGGUGGAAUCUCUAUAAUAAAGUUAAGACUCUUUUAAAUGAAAAAAACUGGCCCUGGCUGGUAUGGCUCAGUUGGUUGGAGCAUCGUCCUGUAGCUGAAAGGUUUUGUGUUCAAUUCCUGGUCAGGGCACAUAACUAGGUUGCAGGUGUGGUUCCUGGUGCGGGCAGGUAUGGGAGGCAACCUGUCGAUGCUUCUCUCUCGCACUGAUGUUUCUCUCCCUUCCUCUCCGAAAAGCAAUCAAAAUAUGCCCUCAGGUGAAGAUAAAAUAAUAAUAAUAGUAAUAAUAAAUGUAAAAAGUGAAGGACAAAAGCAGCUGUUUUAAAACCUUUCCAUUUCACCCUGGCUGGGGAGCUCAGUUGGAUAGUAUUGUCCUGAUAGGCCAAGGUAGCAAGUUCCAUCCCUGGUCAGGGCACAUACA